CCGAGCGAGGGCUCGCGCCCGACCUCCAACCCUUUGAAGUGACCAACUCUGUUGCCUUGGGGGGCGACCCGGCCCCGGCGUCGGGCCCCCAAAGGACCACUCAGACACUGCGUUUUGCGUCGGAGUUUAAAGGAAAUCAAUCA
rnacentral:misc_RNA from 1 species